UACAGAGGUCUCAAGCGUUGUUCGGAUUCAUUGGGCGUAAAGCGCACGUAGGCGGAUCGAUCAGUCAGGGUGAAAUCCCAGAGCUCAACUCUGGAACUGCCUUUGAUACUGUCGAUCUGGAGUAUGGAAGAGGUGAGUGGAAUUCCGAGUGUAGAGGUGAAAUUCGUAGAUAUUCGGAGGAACACCAGUGGCGAAGGCGGCUCACUGGUCCAUUACUGACGCUGAGGUGCGAAAGCGUGGGGAGCAAACAGG
rnacentral:rRNA from 1 species